rnacentral:rRNA from 1 species
CCCUUAGAUGUCCGGGGCUGCACGCGCGCUACACUGAAGGAAUCAGCGUGCUAAAACCAUUGUCGAAAGGCAUUGGUAAACCCAUUAAAAUCCUACGUGAUUGGGAUCGGGAAUUGCAAUUAUUUCCCUUGAACGAGGAAUUCCCAGUAAGUGUGGGUCAUAAGCUCGCGUUGAUUACGUCCCUGCCCUUUGUACACACCGCCCGUCGCUGCCCGGGACUGAGCCGUUUCGAGAAAAGCGGGGACUGCUGCUGUCGGGGCUUUCGGGCCUUGGCUUCGGUGGAAACCGCCUUAAUCGCAGUGGCUUGAACCGGGCAAAAGUCGUANCA